rnacentral:rRNA from 1 species
UACGUAGGGAGCAAGCGUUGUCCGGAAUCAUUGGGCGUAAAGCGCGCGUAGGUGGCUUCGUAAGUCCGUUGUGAAAGUCAAAGGCUCAACCUUUGAAAGCCGAUGGAUACUGCGGAGCUAGAGUACGGAAGAGGCGAGUGGAAUUCCUGGUGUAGCGGUGGAAUGCGUAGAUAUCUGGAGGAACACCGGUGGCGAAGGCGGCAUCCUGGACCGAUACUGACGCUGAGGAGCGAAAGCGUGGGGAGCGAACAGG